ACCCUCCCAGUUCCUCACUGGUCAGAUCUAAACAUCGGUCUGAGUGACUUUUGGAGGAGGACAUGUGAAAUCGGAGCGAACUUAAGAUGCUUCAGCGACAUACAAGUUGGUUUCAAAUGAAC
rnacentral:snoRNA from 1 species